rnacentral:rRNA from 1 species
AUUGAACGCUGGCGGCAGGCCUAACACAUGCAAGUCGAGCGGAGCGGCGGACGGGUGAGCAAUGCCUAGGUACCUGCCUGGUUGUGGGGGAUAACGUCCGGCAACGGGCGCUAAUAUCGCAUUCCAUCAGAUGAGCCUAGGUGGGAUUAGCUAGUUGGUGGGGUAAAGGCCUACUAAGGCGACGAUCCGUGACUGGUCUGAGAGGAUGAUCAGUCACACUGGAACUGAGACACGGUCCAGACUCCUACGGGAGGCAGCAGUGGGGAAUAUUGGACAAUGGGCGAAAACCUGAUCCAGCCAUGCCGCGUGUGUGAAGAAGGUCUUCGGAUUGUAAAGCACUUUAAGUUAGGAGGCGUUACCAACAGAAUAAGCACCGGCUAACUUCGUGCCAGCAGCCGCGGUAAUAC